ACUUUUCCCCACUCCUUCUGUCCUGAGGAGAUUAAACUCAUUUUUCAACUAUUCAAAUGUCUUAAGAACAAGACUCUUUUUGAGACAGACCUGGUCCAGACAGCAGAGAGCCUCACAGAGAACACCUUCAUGGGAAGAAGUUGAGUGCUGCAGGUUACCAACAUGGAAAGGAUCCAUCAGAGACCAGACUCCUCUGAACCUGAACCUGAACCUGGACCUGGACCUGGACCUGGACCUGGACCUGAACCCAGCUGUGUAUCUAUGAAGAGUGACUGGUCAAUUGAUCGCCUCAUUGAUUUUAAAGAACAACAACCGUCUGCUGAA